CCCCUAACGAUGCCAAAUUUCCUGUUAUAAUUUUCAGUUUGUCCCUACAGUCCUCAAAAUUGGUGAUAUUCUCUUUCAUCUCCCUAUGGCAUAGUUCUUGUCAUCCCCUUUGCCAUUUCUCCAUCUACUUUCUUGGACCAUUUUGUAUUGAAUUGUGAUUAACAGUGUUUACACCAUCAUUCAUCGAUUAUCUCAAAAAUCGUA